rnacentral:rRNA from 1 species
CCUACGGGAGGCUGCAGUGAGGAAUAUUGGUCAAUGGACGGAAGUCUGAACCAGCCAUGCCGCGUGCAGGAAGACGGCUCUAUGAGUUGUAAACUGCUUUUGUACAAGGGUAAACCUGAUCACGUGUAUUCAGUUGAGAGUACCGUACGAAUAAGCAUCGGCUAACUCCGUGCCAGCAGCCGCGGUAAUACGGAGGAUCCAAGCGUUAUCCGGAUUUAUUGGGUUUAAAGGGUGCGUAGGCGGAUUGACAAGUUAGCGGUGAAAUGUCCGCGCUUAACUCGGGAACUGCCUCUAAACCUGUUGAUCUAGCGAGUAGAUGCGGUAGGCGGAAUGUAUGGUGUAGCGGUGAAAUGCUUAGAGAUCAUACAGAACACCGAGUGCGAAGGCAGCUUACCAAUCUAUAUCUGACGUUGAGGCACGAAAGCGUGGGGAGCAAACAGGAUUAGAUACCCGAGUAGUC